GCGUGCUUAACACAUGCAAGUCGAACGGUAACAGCAGUACUUGUACUGGCUGACGAGUGGCGGACGGGUGAGUAAUGUAUAGUUAAUCUGCCUCUUAGAGAGGGAUAACAGUUGGAAACGACUGCUAAUACCUCAUACUCCUUUUAUCUUAAUGGUAAUUGGGAAAUGUUUUUUCGCUAAGAGAUGAGACUAUAUGGUAUCAGCUUGUUGGUGAGGUAAUGGCUCACCAAGGCAAUGACACCUAGCUGGUCUGAGAGGAUGAUCAGCCACACUGGAACUGAAACACGGUCCAGACUCCUACGGGAGGCAGCAGUGGGGAAUAUUGCACAAUGGAGGAAACUCUGAUGCAGCAACGCCGCGUGGAGGAUGACGCAUUUCGGUGUGUAAACUCCUUUUAUAUAGGAAGAUAAUGACGGUACUAUAUGAAUAAGCACCGGCUAACUCCGUGCCAGCAGCCGCGGUAAUACGGAGGGUGCAAGCGUUACUCGGAAUCACUGGGCGUAAAGCGCGCGCAGGCGGUCUGAUAAGUUGGAAGUGAAAUCCUAUGGCUCAACCAUAGAACUGCUUCCAAAACUGUCAGACUAGAGUGUGGGAGGGGAAGAUGGAAUUAGUUGUGUAGGGGUAAAAUCCGUAGAGAUAACUAGGAAUACCAAAAGCGAAGGCGAUCUUCUGGAACACUACUGACGCUGAGGCGCGAAAGCGUGGGG
rnacentral:rRNA from 1 species